UAGUGUAAGAAAUUGAAAUAGAGACUGGAAACUAGCAAUAACUACACUUCAACAUAAGCCAUAUAUUAUACAAAAACACACAUACUCCUCAUUUCUCUUGGAUAUAUGCUGGACUUAAGACACCAACUAUAGACACACAUAAUUCCCCUCCCCCAUAAUAACCACAGACACACCCAACCCAUGGUUGGACCUCAGGACAAAGAACUCUCAGGAACCAAUGGAACGUGGACACCAGGCCUGAUCAGGACUACCCAAGACCCAGAUCGACCAACCGGAAGGCCGGACUCGCAGAUCUACCUACUUUGCUUGUUGUCUAUAUAGUACUGAACAUUUCUGGAAACUGCCUCUUUCCCGGACGAUUCACUAGGAGUCAGACUGGAAGAGCCUUGCUGCAAGAUUUUACUAAGAUAUCUUUACAUGUAAUUAAACGGCCUUAUUAUAAAAUUAUCCACCUCGUCCUAUUGUCUCCUCUUGUUCUCCUGUCAACAGUAAACGUUUUAUUAACAGACUUGGUAAGCAGAGGAUGGUCAAAACAUAUUUUAAUUCGGCCCAAUAGAAAAUUCAUAGGACAGGAGACGAGAGGGAGAAAGAUUCCAGAGGAGAGGUGACCUUUGAGGGAGAAUCGCGAUUCAACCCACACAGGAAACUGAUCAGAGAGCUCGAAACUAAAGAGCUCUCUCCACACAGAUUCACAAGGUCCAACGGGGAAGCAGAAGGGAGAUCUGGCACACGGAAGGAAAAAAUUGGUGACUGGGUGGGGUUAAUGUCCACAAGAGAAAGUGGCUAGAACCCAGGUGGACUGGACAGUACGAAGUGAGGGAGGUUACUUCACACUCAGUCCAGGUCAAAGGUAAAUCAGGCGCACCUUGGCACCACCUCACACAUUGCACUCCAGCCCCAAUCCCUUCUAGAACACUGACAGAAGUCAGAGCUGACUUAAACAGCUUAAAUUCGAUUCCAAAUGAAGACAUUUCUGACUCGGGUGAUGCGGAAUCAAACUCCGCCUCCCCUGAUAAAGGAACCUCGCCCAGUUAGAGGGAUAUUUCUCCCUCCCUGGGCAAGGCUAGGGAUAUCUGGCCCCUUAUUUGUGAUAUUCCUACUGACAUUUGGGGUGUCCCUGGGCACUUUCACAGGGUUAAUAGAAUAACUAUAACCGGAUCCCCAUGGAUGUAUGUCACGGAGACUCUAGUCUAACUAGGUAAUAAUAGAUUAAAAAAUUAAAAAAAAUUAAAAAUUUAGAAAACAAUAGUUAAAAUAAGAAACUAAUAUGGCUCAAAUUGAGAAGGUUGAAUGAGAGUGGGUGGAGAGCUAUGCAGAGAAUGGACAGAAGAUGGCAGUAUUGCAGCACCCAAUGGUCUCCCAGCCGACUGGUUGAAUGCUGGUGACAUAAUUUUGUUUUUUGGAGUAAACAUUAAGGUUAAGGGUUUCCGUGUACCCAGAGAUAAGAUAUCUUAAAAGAAUACACUCAUAUGGGAAUAGGAGUUUUACUUUCUGAGUUUUAUUUAGGCAAGGGACUUUGAGAAGAUAAAGGGUUCUUUUGGUAUGUUUAGAUAUGGAACACGAAUGUAGGUGUAACAUUUUGACCUGUUUUCUGUUUCCAUUGCAUUUUCCGGCGACUUGAUCACUCGCGGGGAAAUGUAGUGAGAAUAAUGAGAUUGUGUCAUUUGGGAUACUAGUUUUGAGGUAAAUUGAUUAUAAUAGAGUUUAUAACUCUUGACCAUAAGGUAAGCAUUUGUUUUGGCCAUUAGAAGAUAGAGAUAGGUUAAUUAAGGUUAUGUUAGGACUUUAAAGAUUGACACUAUAAGACCUGUUGUUAUUUUUAAAUCCAUGCAGAUAAAGUCAAAACAGUGAGACACUUAGUUAAUAUUGUAAAGGAACACAUAGAAAAAGGCAGACAGAUGGGUCUACCCCGCACUGUUGAGACCUUGAAGGUUUGAGAGCAGAGUGGGGAGGGUGGACCAGGAAAUGAGCAAGGUAGGCUGUGAAAUAAGAUAGGAGAGAAAGGGGUUAACAUAUAUAAGCAGCACAGAUACAUUUCAAAGUAGAUAAGUCACUUGACAGAGAAUUGGAAAAGAAUAGAUAUGAAUGUACGCCCAAGGGAGAAUUGGAAAUGCGGGGAAUAAAAGGGACGUUCCUAGAAUAUGAUGUACUAAGUUAUUAUUUAGAGUAGGUAAGGUUGAUACCUGGCCAGAGCCAGGUAUCAAACGAAGGAGGGUACAUUGUGGACUAGGAAAGGAUGGGGCCUAUUGGAUAAUAAACUUAUUUAAAAUUAAACAUUUAUAGCUAAAAAAAUAAAUAAAUAAUUAGGCAUAGAAGUUAAAUAUAUAAUCAGAAAGAACAAAUGAGGAACUGUUUGCUAACCAAACCUGUAUGUCCAAGAGUUUAUACAUUGCAGGUGAAUUAAGGGAGAAGGUGAAUCACUCGACCUGGGGGCAUAUCGCACUUGGAGGGUGAGACACACCGACACUGCCGAAUGAUCACAGAGUUAAGGAGAAGAACUGUUGCUAAUAAAGCUCAGGGGUCAACUCCUUAAUGAAGAAUUCCCUGACCCCGACCUUUCCUCACUGUGUUCGUUCAUAGAAGUGAAAGUGUUGCUUGAUCUCUGGCUGAUGAUGUGUUCUCUGAGAGAGGGUGGGGUUUUACAGGACUGCUUGUAGUCCUGAGCUGUCUGAUAAGGAUAUGAUGGGGAGGUUACCAUCGCAGUGCUGCCGGAACCACCACCAGUUCCAACGGACCAGGGUUCAGCCGGCCUCCUCCACCACUUCAAGACCAAGUCCCACGCCAUCACCUAAGCUCUCCAAUCUGGUACAGAUAAUAAAUAUAAAAGACAUCUCAGAUAGUGAACAUUUGGGGACUGAAACUGUUUGAGGAAAGGGAGAAUAUGUGUUUGGCCUACAAAACACUUAAUAGAAAGGACUGUGUCGUAUGUGGACAUGCCAGACCUAUUCUGGCUGCUCACCCAUUUGUCCUAAGUAAUGGGGAAGGUUGGAUGUGCAUAUUGGAAAAGUUCGAGCCAAAUUCAACCCUGUGUAAAACUCUGAGUCUUGUGUUCCCAGUGGUCCCUCCCCAGAAGGUACCGUGGGGAGUUAAGGCAUAUGGGGGAUGUAACAGCUGUAUCCCUGGCACAGGUAGCGGUAUGGACUAUGGAAGGCUCCCUGCUACUACCUGCAUCACUAAUACCACUAGGAACUAGAGGUGUUGCUGAUGUAUGGUGGAUGUGUGGACCUGCCAGGCGGUUGACCCCAUUUUUGAAAGGAAAUUGUCGUUGCUCAUGUGUUUUGGCCAGUCUGAUACCACCGUUGCCUAUUAUGAUAGCUAAUCAACUUCUGGGAAGAUACACAGGACACAGAGGCUUGGGACCAACCCAGGAGACGGCAGAAACGUGACGCUCCUUGGUCCGAGGGUACAGAUAACAUGCACACCAACCUGUUGGGGGUCCCAAUAGGGGUCCCCCACGAAUUCCAGACAUUAACCAGGAAUGAUGGCCUGUGGCAUCUGAUGCCCAUCCUUGGCCCAGCUAUUGUUGAUGUUAAAACAAAAGGUCUGGAUCAAUUAUAAACACACCCACACAGGACUUACAGGGAUGGCUGAACAAUUGGAUGCUGCCUCACAAACCAGUAGACACAAUAGACUAACACUGGACAUAAGUCUGGCCAACAAGGGAGGUGUAACAGUGUUGCACGUUUGUUCCUAACAAUACUAGUCCGGAUGGGAGCAUUUCAAAAGCUCUGAGUGGGUUGGCAAGGUUAUCAGUGGAGAUGAAGGGUCUUGCAGGUGUGGAGGAGAGUGGACUGUUCCCCUGGCUGGGUGGUUGUUUUGGUAAGUACACUGCAAUGAUGAUUACUGGAUUUCUGACACUAGUUGUGGUUUUUCAUUUCUGUGUUGCCUGUAUCAUACCUUGUUUGAAGAAGUUUGUUACAGAUGUGUAAGGAGCCUCUAGUAUGAUGCCGUUGCUUGAUGCUCCAGUUGGAGAGGCUGAUACGAAAACGAGCUUCCGCAGGAGAGUGGGCUGACAGAGGAGGACCCUUGGUUUGGUGUAGUUGAUGUUGAAUGAAUAAAAAGUGAUGUUUGUCCUCCCUGUUGUGAAGGUUUGAAGUUCCCGGGUGGCGACGAGCCCACCUGGUACAGGUUGCAUAGAGGGAUGGACCUGAGGGUUUAACAUAUUCUCGUUUUUUGGUUUACUAAUGUGUGGUUGGCCACUCCAGGGGUAGUUAUUGGAGUGGUCUCCUUUUUGGUCCUUGCUCAUUUACGACUCAACUUACAUUGAUGCUAUUGGUGUCCCUAGGGGGUGCCAGAUGAAUAUAAACUGGCGGACCAAGUGACAGCUGGGUUUGAAUCAUCAUUUGGUUGGUGGUGUACAGUUAAUAAAAAAUGUGGACAGAAUUAACUACAUUCAUUUUAAUGUCCAGAAACUGGGCAAUUGGACUCAACAAGGCUUCGAGGCGGUCCAUGGACAAUUGGCAGCUACGUCCCUGAUGGCAUUUCAAAAUAGAAUCGCGGUUGAUAUGAUAUUGGCUGAACGGGGGGGGGGUCUGUGCAAUGUUUGGUGCACAGUGUUGUACCUUCAUUCCCAAUAACACAGCUACGGAUAGGAGUCUGACUGUAGCAUUGGAGGGACUUCGUACCCUUAAUGGUAAGAUGAAACAGCAUUCUGGAGUGGACACUACUAUGUGGGACUCAUGGAUGGAUGCCUUUGGUAAAUAUAAGACGCUGGUUUCCUCUAUCCUAGUAUCAAUUUCUGUUUUUGCGGCCAUUCUUGUAAUAACUGCAGCCAUAGACCCUAAUCAGGAAAGGGCCCAAAUGUUCCCAUUGCUUGAGGAUGGGGAAGCUGGACCUGUCUAUCUAUUUGAGGACUAAGAUACUUCUAUGUCACGUCUCUUGUGAGACGUGAAGAGAGGGAAUUAAAAAUUUGUCUUCUGACAAAUUUUAUCCCUUAGCUUUGUCUUUUUAUACUUUUAUGUCACGUCUCUUGUGAGACGUGAAGAGAGGGAAUCAAAAAUUUGUCUUCUGACAAAUUUUAUCCCUUAGCUUUGUCUUUCCAUACUUUUAUGUCACGUCUCUUGUGAGACGUGAAGAGAGGGAAUCAAAAAUUUGUCUUCUGACAAAUUUUAUCCCUUAGCUUUGUCUUUCCAUACUUUUAUGUCACGUCUCUUGUGAGACGUGAAGAGAGGGAAUCAAAAAUUUGUCUUCUGACAAAUUUUAUCCCUUAGCUUUGUCUUUUUAUACUUUUAUGUCACGUCUCUUGUGAGACGUGAAGAGAGGGAUUUGUAAGAAAUUGAAAUAGAGACUGGAAACUAGCAAUAACUACACUUCAACAUAAGCCAUAUAUUAUACAAAAACACACAUACUCCUCAUUUCUCUUGGAUAUAUGCUGGACUUAAGACACCAACUAUAGACACACAUAAUUCCCCUCCCCCAUAAUAACCACAGACACACCCAACCCAUGGUUGGACCUCAGGACAAAGAACUCUCAGGAACCAAUGGAACGUGGACACCAGGCCUGAUCAGGACUACCCAAGACCCAGAUCGACCAACCGGAAGGCCGGACUCGCAGAUCUACCUACUUUGCUUGUUGUCUAUAUAGUACUGAACAUUUCUGGAAACUGCCUCUUUCCCGGACGAUUCACUAGGAGUCAGACUGGAAGAGCCUUGCUGCAAGAUUUUACUAAGAUAUCUUUACAUGUAAUUAAACGGCCUUAUUAUAAAAUUA